rnacentral:rRNA from 1 species
UGGUGGACUGAUUUGUCUGGUUAAUUCCGAUAACGAACGAGACUCUGACCUAUUAACUAGGCGCUCCCGGUAUAAAUACCUACCGGCGAGAUUUAUUCUUCUUAAGGGGACAGGCGGCUCUUAGCCGCACGAGAUUGAGCAAUAACA